UUACAUUACACUAAAUCAUUGUGUAUCCCUCCGUGGUCCAUUCGAAAGUAGUGCCUAUUUCUAAAGAGUUCCUUUUCUCUUCUUGAAUAUAAGCCAUUUAACAAUGUGAGACAUGUCUUUUGUGGUUAUUUGUAAUAUCCUGUAUGUGUCUGGAGUACUUUGAUGCCUUGGAUUGGAAGCUAACUUAAAAGAUGAACUUUUGAGGGUGUGUUUUCUAUUGUGAGGGGCUUUUGUCGAAAUUAGGAUUCCGAAACGCGUUUUUCUACGGUGGGUUCAUUCGACAGCGAUUUACUUUCUUAGAAGUUGCGAGACGGUAUGUUUUUGAUUGCAACUAUUGGAAGAUGACAGAUCCAUCUUUAAAAUGAUACCAGGUUCGGAAAAAUUGAUACGUCGGAAAGGCAAGAAAAAUGCUGUGAAAGUUGUCAGUUUUAUAAUGGGACCCUAUGGGAAUCGGAAUUAGUGUAAUAUAACCUUUAAAAAGCACAUUUACUGCAAUGUCAAGGUCACAUGGAUUCGUCUGCAAGCGAGACAAGUAGGAAAUGAAUUUUAAUGAAUGUUUUGAUGAUUUGGGUGCUAAAAUAGAUGAGAGAUGUCAAUAUUUUGGUCCAAAUGGAUGUUUUAGGUGGUUUUGGACUGUUCCGGAUGGGUGGGGGACCUGGUAUGGACAAGCCUGACCGUUUGUCCUUGAGCCGUAGAUGGUCAACAAUCCGCUAGCUCUCUUGCUCUGACUGGUGCACUGGACAUGAUUUCAAUAGUCAGCCAGACCAUGAUUGAGCUUAAGGAUUGUGCUGCGGAUGCAGCCUGUGCAGUUCCGGGAGAAAGUCACUGUCUUGGGCAAUGCGGUCUGGUGUCAGGUCUGGAUGAUCCUUGCCUGACUGCGGGUUUGUGUACACCUCAAUCCGACUCUGUGUCCUGAACAGAGGCCGCAGUGGUGCAGCGCUUGUGGACGAUCCAUCAACAUCCUGAAAGGUCAACACUACACCAAGCUGGGAAAAUUGAUCCUGAUAGUCAUCCCCAGGCCUGACCGUUUGUCCUUGAGCCGUAGAUGGUCAACAAUCCGCUAGCUCUCUUGCUCUGACUGGUGCACUGGACAUGAUUUCAAUAGUCAGCCAGACCAUGAUUGAGCUUAAGGAUUGUGCUGCGGAUGCAGCCUGUGCAGUUCCGGGAGAAAGUCACUGUCUUGGGCAAUGCGGUCUGGUGUCAGGUCUGGAUGAUCCUUGCCUGACUGCGGGUUUGUGUACACCUCAAUCCGACUCUGUGUCCUGAACAGAGGCCGCAGUGGUGCAGCGCUUGUGGACGAUCCAUCAACAUCCUGAAAGGUCAACACUACACCAAGCUGGGAAAAUUGAUCCUGAUAGUCAUCCCCAGGCCUGACCGUUUGUCCUUGAGCCGUAGAUGGUCAACAAUCCGCUAGCUCUCUUGCUCUGACUGGUGCACUGGACAUGAUUUCAAUAGUCAGCCAGACCAUGAUUGAGCUUAAGGAUUGUGCUGCGGAUGCAGCCUGUGCAGUUCCGGGAGAAAGUCACUGUCUUGGGCAAUGCGGUCUGGUGUCAGGUCUGGAUGAUCCUUGCCUGACUGCGGGUUUGUGUACACCUCAAUCCGACUCUGUGUCCUGAACAGAGGCCGCAGUGGUGCAGCGCUUGUGGACGAUCCAUCAACAUCCUGAAAGGUCAACACUACACCAAGCUGGGAAAAUUGAUCCUGAUAGUCAUCCCCAGGUAGUGGAAUGAAUGUACACUGAACUACAGAGGAAUCACACCCAAAUGACUUUCCUGCCACGACAUUAGUGUGGCCACUCGCGUAGGAAUUCCUUAGCAAACGUGCUCUUUUGCAUGGUGACUGUGUGGCAUUUUUUCAAAACUUACGCUUUCAACACUGGAUUUUAAAGGGAAUACUUAAUAAACUUUCGCUAACAGGACUUAUUUAUAUGAGAGAGACUAUCUGGAUGCGCAUUAAGUGUCACUUUGUGUCGUUAGCUGUUGAAGGAGCGAUUUGCGCCUUUUUAAGUGUUAAUUUUGGGUAGCCGGCUUGUAUCGGCUUGAAAGCUGCAAAUUAUGCCUCUCAUCAUAAUAGCAUUAAUUUUUGUAAAUGCAAUGUGUAUGUUUAGAUUGUAAGUGAAGCUUUUAAUAAUAAUUUUCUUAAAAAACAUGA